AACGAACGCUGGCGGCGCGUAUUAAGCAUGCAAGUCGAACGGGAACCGACCCCGCAAGGGGUUGGGGGAGAGUGGCGAACGGGUGAGUAACACGUAGGUGAUCUGUCCCUGGGUGGGGUAUAGCCCAUGGAAACAUGGGGUAAUACCGCAUGAAGUCCUGGAGUUGAGGCUUCUGGAUGAAAGGCGCAAUUGUGUUGCCUGGGGAUGAGCCUGCGGCUCAUUAGCUAGUUGGUGAGGUAAAGGCCCACCAAGGCGACGAUGGGUAGCCGGCCUGAGAGGGUGUACGGCCACACUGGGACUGAGACACGGCCCAGACUCCUACGUGAGGCUG
rnacentral:rRNA from 1 species